rnacentral:rRNA from 2 species
UACGUAGGGAGCAAGCGUUGUCCGGAAUCAUUGGGCGUAAAGCGCGCGUAGGUGGCUUCGUAAGUCCGUUGUGAAAGUCAAAGGCUCAACCUUUGAAAGCCGAUGGAUACUGCGGAGCUAGAGUACGGAAGAGGCGAGUGGAAUUCCUGGUGUAGCGGUGGAAUGCGCAGAUAUCAGGAGGAACACCAAUAGCGAAGGCAGCUCGCUGGGACGUUACUGACACUGAGGCGCGAAAGCGUGGGGAGCGAACAGG